CGGGAGCCCGCACACUGUGAGCGCGCACGGCGGCGGCAGAUUUCUAAUGCUUUUUGGUGGUGCAUAAGCGGACUCAGCAAUGGGUGUAAAGGGUCUCCAGCAGUUUGUAGAUCACACCUGCCCAGCUGUGAGAGUAUGGGUGGAUCUGAAGGAGAUGGCAGAGCAGUACAAGCGCUCCCACCCUGGACGUUCUCCUGUUGUGGUGGUGGACACCCUGGCAUGUCUGAGACAUUGGUACACCUCUGAGGCCUGGGUGCACGGUGGUCAGUGGCGUGAGUACUUGGAGAGUCUGAAAUACUUUGUGAAUGCUUUCUCAGCAGCCGGCAUAGAGCUGGUAUUUGUCUUUGAUGGGGUAAUAGAACAGAAGAAAAGGGAUGAAUGGAUCAAACGACGACUGAGGAACAACCUUGAGAUUGAAAAAAUCUUUCAGUACAUAAAGACAAAUGCCUGCCAACCAGGAAGAGAGAUGUUCUUCAUUCCAUCUGGACUGGCCACCUUUACUCGCUUUGCCUUAAAAUCAUUAGGCUUAAACACCAUGUGUUCCCUGAAGGAGGCUGAUUAUGAGAUAGCUAGCUAUGCAAGGUUAAAUGACGCUAUGGCAAUUCUGAGUCAGGACACAGACUUCCUCAUUUAUGACACCAAGCCAUACCUCUCGAUAAGCAAUCUGUCUCUGGAAAAGCUAACUACUGUUAUGUAUUCUCGUGAAAACCUCUGUCACUCUCUCAGGCUGCAGAUGAUGGACUUGCCACUUUUGGCCUGUCUUCUUGGUAACGACACAGUGUCAGAAAACGUGGUGGGAAGACUGAAGCGCCAGUGCCUGGCUGAAUACUUGCCUGGUAGCCCAAACGCAAGGCAGAGGCAGGAGAUGGUCCCAGCAGUGGCGCAUUACAUCUCCAGUGUGGAUCAUUCGUACCAUGGGUUGAAAGAGGUGGAGAGAAACCUGCAACACCACUCAGAUGAAAGCUUGCUAGAAAAGGGAGUGGAAUCUUACAUACUGCCUGGGCAGAGCUCACCAUGGCUUCCCCUCAACAAAAUAUUUCCAGUGACGCACCAGUGUGAGAUGCCCAUAUACCCAAAUCUUAGGAUUUUACAGUUUGCAAGAGAGAAGCACAUCAAAGCUGAGAGCUCUAUGGUUUACAGAAUCUUGAGUAGUGGAGAAGUUGAUUGCAGCAACACUCUGGAAGAUGAGUUGGAUGCAGACCUUCCUGGACAAGCAAUUGUUUACCGAUCUGCUCGACAGUCUAUUUAUGGCAUUCUUCUAGCUGCUGAACCAAAUGCCCUGCCUGAUUCUGCCAGAUUAUGCCGUACCGUAAAGGAAUGGUUUGUAUAUCCAGGUAACCUGCUCCAGCAGCCAGAUCUUGUGCCAGCUUUACCACCGGAACUGCCAGGAGGAGUUCCAGAUUUACAAACCUUGUGGCUAACAGAAGGGUCAACAGUUGAAGAGUUGCGUUACCGCAUAUUUCUUGCAUGUUUUGGCGUACAGGAUUUUGUUCAGGAGUUUCGUCGUCUGGAAAAUCCCACCACUGCUGCUGUUUGCUGCCUGCUGAUCUAUAUCACGCUGCAGGUAAGCACAUUAUCUCUGGAAGACCUGGAUGCAUAUUUGGCUCAAAUGAUAUGUGUCCGUGACAAGCCAGCUGACCAUCUCACUCAGAUACAGGUGUCCCAUGUUGAUUCGCGAGCUGUGCACCUGGCUUCCCUUUUUGUGCGGGGCCUGGCUGUGCUCAUUUCAGCUAAUAGUGCUUGUGGCUUCCCAUUUAAAAUGGUCGACCUGAUGCCAUGGGAGGUGUUUGAUGGGAAGCUUUUCCACGCAAAGUACCUGCAGUCUCACAGUGGAUGUACAACGGAGGACCUCCUGGAAAAGAAUGACGUGCUGGUUCACGAGUUUCAGAAGCUCAAGUUUCUCAUCAACACUGUAUGUGCAGGAAAGAAUAGGAUUGUACAGAGCAAACCUCGGCCCCUUGUCCCAGCCAGAGAAAGGCCUGGUCCCCAUGGUAGAGGCAGCCAUCACGGUUUCUGGAGUGCACAGCCCACCCAUUGCCCGGGGUAUCAGGGACGAUAUCCACAGCCUGGUUGGACCAACUCAGCUCAAACAGGUAGAAGACUUCAACCAAGGCCAGGAUCCUACAACAGAAGACCACGGCACACACCAUGGUGAAUGUGGGGAAUCAGUGUAUCAAGUUACAUAUACAAAAGCUACACAAUUUCCUGCAUAACUACAGAAGAUACAACACCUUCCCUUUUUACCUCCUCCCUCCCUACUGUCCAUAGCAUCAACCACAUCCUGCGGGAAGCAGCAAUCUAUCCAUACUUGAUUUAGUAUUCUGCAUUACCUACUGAAGAUGCUGUCAUCUCUGUGUCAAACUUUGAUGAACGGUCCUAGACCUGAAAGAUUAACAACUUCUCUUUCCACAGCUGCUAACUGGCUUUGAGUAUUUCCAGCAUUUUCUGUUUUAGACUAAAUUCAGGUCGGAUGAUUGCUUUGUGGAACACCUCCAUUGCAGUCCAUGAGCUUACAGUACCUUUGAGUUUCUGUGUCGUACCCAAUCUGACCUCUCCAUCCUCAGCCAGUUAUGUUGUCCCAUCAAACCCCAAUGAAAUCUACAGCAACACACCUCAUACACAAGAAAAUAAGAGCAGGAGUAGGCCUCAGGCCCUUCAAGCCUGCUCCACCAUUUAAUAUGAUCAUAGCUGGCCUCCUCUUCUGUGGCAUUUCUCUGUAUCCCUCGAUCUAUCAAAUAUUUAUCCACCUCCACUUUAAGUACUUCUCAUGAUCCAGUUUCUGCCAGGGCAGAGGAUUCCAGAGCUGUAUUCUUCUGAUUAGCCACACUAAAACCUUCUGGACUCAGCACUGAGUUCAAGAAUUUCAAGUAUCAGCUUCUCCGGGAUUUUUAUGUCAGAUUUCUGCCUUCCUUGAGAAAUUUCAGGCCGUUUGGUUCCCGAGGUUCUCAGCCUGGUUGGAGUUAGUCAGGUUGUGGAAUGUUAAAGGGAAGAAGACAGCAGUGGACCUGAAGGAGAAUGUAACAUCGAUUUCCGCUGGUUUAAUCAAUACACUACCAGAGACAUAAAUUUAAUUAUUGACUUAGCAUUUUAAACACACUUUUUGUAUUGGUCUAGCAGAACAAUAAAUAAUUUAUGAAGCCUAAUGCAGGCUUUGAUGAUACCUCUGCAGGUUUAUCUACUGUUAAGCUCCCUGAUUUGAUGAAAGGUUAUUGACCUAAAGCAUUGACUUUCUCUGUGUUCCUCUGAUGAACGCUUCUAGCAUUUUCUCUUCCUGUCACUGGUUUGAAUCCCAGCUUGUGCUACAUCAUCAAAUCAGCAAUUAGCAAUAAACUCAACCCUGUGACUGCCGAGGGAACAUUGCCCAGGGUUGAUGGAUUCAGUUAAAUGAAAACAAAAAUACUGGAAAUGCUCAGCAGGUCAGGCAGCAGCUGUGGAGAGGGGAACAGAGUUAAUGUUUCAAUUCAAUGACCUUUCACCUGUUUUGUUUCAGAUUUCCAACAUCUGCAGUAUUUUGCUUUUAGAUUGGUAUUCUUGUUAGUUAAUCUAAGGACCCUUGCUGGCAGAACCCUGAAUACGGAGAAUCUGAUGGGGUUACAUUCUGAUGCUCUGUGGGAGAAGAGCUCCUAAUCCCAUUUUCUUUAUCAAAGCUUACAGAAAUGUAGUGUAGUGGUUAGCGUAACGCUAUUACAGCGCCAGCGACCCGGGUUCAAUUCCGGCCGUUGUCUGUAAGGAGUUUGUAUGUUCUCCCCGUGUCUGCGUGGGUUUCCUCCGGGUGCUGCGGUUUCCUCCCACAUUCCAAAGACGUACGGGUUAGGAAGUUGUGGGCAUGCUAUGUUGGCGCCGGAAGCGUGGCGACACUUGCGGGCUGCCCCCCAGCACACUCAAUGCAAAAGAUGCAUUUCACUGUGUGUUUUGAUGUACAUGUGACUACUAAAGAUAUCUUAUAACUUGGGAAGGCCCCCCAAGGGAUCUUAUGUCCAGUUAUCACAAGCUUGGAAACUGCACAGAAAAUUCCCCAAUCCCAAAAGAACUUUCAAAUACUCCCUGAAUGCCAGAGGUCUGACCAUAUAAAACUAUGAGGGGCAUAGAUAGGGUGAAUCCGCAGUCUUUUUCCCAGGGUUGGGGAAUCAAGAAUUAGAGGGCAUAGAUUUAAGGUGAGAGGGGAGAGACUUAAUAGGAACUUAAGGAGCAACUUAUUCACCCAGAGAGUGGUUUGUGACCUUGCACCUUAUUGCACUGCAUGUUCUCUGUAGCUGUGACACUUUGUACUGUUAUUGUUUUUACCUGUACUACCUCAAUGCACUCUGUACUAACUCAAUGUAACUGCACUGUGUAAUGAAUUGACCUGUACGAUCGGUAUGCAAGACAAGUUUUUCACUGUACCUCGG